rnacentral:lncRNA from 1 species
AUGCUGCUAAAGAUAACUCGAGGCUUGACAUUAGUUGGCAGGGCCGGGUCGAGCCCGAGGAGACCGCAACCCGAGUGGCGGCUCGCCGCGGGAGAGCGUGGCCAGCACGCGCGUCCGCGGGGCCCCGGGAACCCAGGGAGGAGCACUUACGUGGAGCCACCUGGGUGCCAGGGCUGCAGGUCCGGGAGGCAGCAGGUGUGGCGCUGGCCGGCGGCCGAGGCCCCCAGCAUCCCGCCGGCGUCAGGCCGGACCCCGGGACGCUGCCCCGCACCUGCAAUGCGGCUCGUACUCCGCCCGGGCCGGCGGUUGCGGCCGUUGCGCCGCGCCUCCCCCCCACGCCGCUGCGCAGCCUGGCGCCCAGCCCCGAGGGCGAGCCUCCUCAUCAGCGCAGGUGCGCGCCUCACCUGCCACGCUCCCUCAGGCGGCUGCGGCGCUCGGCCUGCUCCUCGAGGUGGCCCGCGGCCCAUGGGCAGGGACGGUCGGAGCCGGGUGCGCAGCGGCCCUGCCGCGGGGCACGAAGACUCAAGAGACGCCGCCCGGCCGGCGCAUCCCACCCGCUCCCUCAGAACGCUCGCCGCAGUGCACGCCGGGAGCCGUUGGCGGCCGGGCUGGUCCUCGCACCCGAGGCUGUCUGAGGGGAGGAUGCGGCGCCGACGCGGCGGCGGUCUGCUACAGAGGGGAGGACCGUGCGGAUCGAUGCUCUCGCUGCAGAGGGGAAGGGGGCGCCGCCCCGCUCCCUGCGGCUGCGUCAGGGCAGAGGCGAGGGCGAGGAGGAGGAAAGAAAAAAAAAAAACCCCGAGGGAUGUUAGUAACACGCAAGCGCACUGCUCAGGUGCGGCCACACUGCGGUUGCCCUUGGUAACCAGGGCGGGCGGGGCGGGCGGGGUGGGGCGGGGACAACGAGAGGUGGAGAAGCCCAGCGGGAACGCGCGUGCGUGCCUGUGUUGGGGAGGCGGGUGGGCGGGGACUCGAGCAGCUAGACACGCAUGCGUACCUCGCCCCUCAUGGUCUCCCCGCCCCUCCCUGGGGGCUGACCGGCCUCGCGCGUGCGCACGCGCGCCGUUUCCCCGGAGGCGUCUGGGUGUGCGGAGCGUGCGCGCGCGCGAGCGAGCGAGAGAGCGAGCGAGGUUGGGAGGCGCACCUGUGAGGUGUCCCCUGAGGAGAGGGCCGGUGGGCGCGCGGAGUCCGCGGCCUAGACGCGCUCCCCGGCCGCACUUGGGACACGGCACAGUCCCGGCCGAGGUCUCCCAGCAUCCCGCCGAGGUGAUGAGGACCUCCGCGCUGCCCCAGCAAGCCCGGCUGCCGCCGCCGGACGCCUCCAUUGUCUGACCACCGCCUGGGCCCGGCUCGCCGCAGACCUGCAAGUCCAAGAGACGUCCGUCCCUCUGGAAGAUAAGAGAGCUUCCUCUUCAGGAUCAAAAAAAAAAG